UGUGUACGUAUAUAGACCUACCAUAUUCUAGCGAUUGAUUAUAACCUAAACGAGAGCUGAUAUUGGAAAUUGAAUUUUCAACCACAUCGGAUUCCUUGAACAAAUUUACUUCUCGUAGGUACUUGAGUUUAGCUUACGUGCAGUAAAUCUUCAUUCACCGUUAUGUUGUUAUUGUCAGUGGAGGAAAAAUUAGUCCCAAGUAGUUCAUUGGUGAACGCAAUUGCACUAUCUUUCGUCCUUUUCGCUGCUGAGCUUUGAAACUAUAUAAAUGGCGAAUUUCAAUAAACCACCAAUUGUUAGCUAAACUACGAAAUUAAGCUCUAUAUCGGAAGUUCUACUGGCAAAAUACGGAGUUCUCGAACUAAAAUACGGAUAUGGUGUUUCGACAUCAGCGAAACAUUGUUCGAAUUCAGCAUUGAUACGUAAAAUUAAACUAAUAAAGAAAACUAAUGCUAUCACCAUGACGUUGUUUCGUGUAUAGUUUUGCGUCGGCGUCGCCAAAACUGAAACACCACAAUCACAGCUGAAAAAAAAUACGAUAAAAGGUUCGCAUAUGGUAAAAUAUUAUUCCCAGAAUUACAAAUAUCUAGAAUGUGUCAUGCACCCAGUAGCUAGGUACCUAUCUUUAGGUAUAAAGUUGUAAACCAAGUUAAGAUAUAUAUUUACUUACGAUCAAACCGGAUUUAAUUGAUAUUUAAUAAUGAUAAAACAUGAAAUUCGCGAGAUCAACCGAAUCUGGUUAUAGGUACACUUGAAUAUUUAUCAAAAAUUUUGGUCUGAGCCUAGCUUAAGUAUUCAAAUUUGAUUUAUUGAGGUAUCAAAGUAACUUACUUUUGUUCUUACCUAUAUCCUCAUACUUAUUAAUUUAUCUGAUAACAUUUACCUACAAUUCCGAGUAACACAGGUAUUUUUGACGAUGAUCUAAAUGUAUCCUAUCUAAUUUAGUAAGUAGAUAAUUGAAUUAUUUAUAUUCUUAAAUGUAUAAAAAAUAUAUGUUUAUAAGAACAUGUUAGCAUAACACAUUAACAAUCACUAGGUACCAAUAAACUACUUGAAGAUUAAA